rnacentral:rRNA from 1 species
AACCACCUGGGGAGUACGUUGGCAACAAUGAAACUCAAAGGAAUUGACGGGGACCCGCACAAGCGGUGGAACAUGUGGUUUAAUUCGAUGAUACGCGAGGAACCUUACCUGGACUUAAAUGUAGAUUGCAUAGAGUAGAGAUAUUCUUUUCUUCGGACUAUCUACAAGGUGCUGCAUGGUUGUCGUCAGCUCGUGCCGUGAGGUGUCGGGUUAAGUCCCAUAACGAGCGCAACCCCUAUCGUUAGUUGCCAUCAGGUUAAGCUGGGGACUCUAACGAAACUGCCUGUGCAAACAGAGAGGAAGGUGGGGAUGACGUCAAAUCAGCACGGCCCUUACGUCCAGGGCUACACACGUGUUACAAUGGCAUAGACAGAGGGCAGCUACCAGGCGACUGGAUGCGAAUCUCGAAACUAUGUCUCAGUUCGGAUCGGAGUCUGCAACCCGACUCCGUGAAGUUGGAAUCGCUAGUAAUCGCGCAUCAGCCAUGGCGCGGUGAAUACGUUCCCGGGUCUUGUACACACCGCCCGUCGAGCCAUGGAAGCCGAGGGGACCUGAAGUACGUAACCGCAAGGAGCGUCCUAGGGUAAAAUUGGUAACUGGGGCUAAGUCGUAACAAGGUAGCCG